GACGAACGCUGGCGGCGCGCCUAACACAUGCAAGUCGAACGAGAGAGAGGGAGCUUGCUUCCUCAAUCGAGUGGCGAACGGGUGAGUAACGCGUGAGGAACCUGCCUCAAAGAGGGGGACAACAGUUGGAAACGACUGCUAAUACCGCAUAAGCCCACGGCUCGGCAUCGAGCAGAGGGAAAAGGAGCAAUCCGCUUUGAGAUGGCCUCGCGUCCGAUUAGCUAGUUGGUGAGGUAAUGGCCCACCAAGGCAACGAUCGGUAGCCGGACUGAGAGGUUGAACGGCCACAUUGGGACUGAGACACGGCCCAGACUCCUACGGGAGGCAGCAGUGGGGAAUAUUGCACAAUGGGGGAAACCCUGAUGCAGCGACGCCGCGUGGAGGAAGAAGGUCUUCGGAUUGUAAACUCCUGUUGUUGAGGAAGAUAAUGACGGUACUCAACAAGGAAGUG
rnacentral:rRNA from 1 species